rnacentral:rRNA from 1 species
UACAGAGGUGGCAAGCGUUGUUCGGAAUUACUGGGCGUAAAGAGCUCGUAGGUGGUUUGUCGCGUUGUUCGUGAAAACUCACAACUCAAUUGUGGGCGUGCGGGCGAUACGGGCAGACUGGAGUACUGCAGGGGAGACUGGAAUUCCUGGUGUAGCGGUGGAAUGCGCAGAUAUCAGGAGGAACACCGGUGGCGAAGGCGGGUCUCUGGGCAGUAACUGACGCUGAGGAGCGAAAGCGUGGGGAGCGAACAGG